rnacentral:rRNA from 1 species
GACGAACCGUGCGAACGUUGUUCGGAUUUACUGGGCGUAAAGGGCGCGUAGGCGGCGCGACAAGUCACUUGUGAAAUCUCUGGGCUCAACCCAGAACGGUCAAGUGAUACUGUCGUGCUAGAGUGCGGAAGGGGCAACUGGAAUUCUUGGUGUAGCGGUGAAAUGCGUAGAUAUCAAGAGGAACACCUGCGGCGAAGGCGGGUUGCUGGGCCGACACUGACGCUGAGGCGCGAAAGCUAGGGGAGCGAACGGG